UACGUAGGGCGCGAGCGUUGUCCGGAUUUAUUGGGCGUAAAGAGCUCGUAGGCGGCUUGUCGCGUCGUUCGUGAAAACUUGGGGCUCAACCCCAAGCUUGCGGUCGAUACGGGCAGGCUAGAGUUCGGUAGGGGAGACUGGAAUUCCUGGUGUAGCGGUGAAAUGCGCAGAUAUCAGGAGGAACACCGGUGGCGAAGGCGGGUCUCUGGGCCGAUACUGACGCUGAGGUGCGAAAGCCAGGGGAGCAAACGGG
rnacentral:rRNA from 1 species